rnacentral:rRNA from 1 species
AUACGGAGGGUGCAAGCGUUACUCGGAAUCACUGGGCGUAAAGCGCGCGCAGGCGGCCUGAUAAGUUGGAUGUGAAAGCCUACGGCUCAACCGUAGAACUGCAUCCAAAACUGUCAGGCUAGAGUGUGGGAGAGGAAGAUGGAAUUAGUUGUGUAGGGGUAAAAUCCGUAGAGAUAACUAGGAAUACCAAAAGCGAAGGCAAUCUUCUGGAACACUACUGACGCCGAGGCGCGAAGGCGUGGGGAGCAAACAGGAUUAGAUACCCCGGUAGUCC